CCUUCGAUAGCUCAGUUGGAAGAGCGUGGGACUGUAAUUGGUUAACAAUUCGGCUCAAAUCGCUAUCCCAAGGUCACUGGUUCGAUCCCGGUUCGAAGGA